UCCCUCCUCCUCUGCCUGCCCGCAGCUAAACCUAACUCAUGCAAAAGACUGAGCCUAUCCUAACUCCAAGAACAUUUAGGGAGCUCCUCAGAGGAGGGCCUUUCAUAUUCAUGUCAGGAGAGGAGUGGCGGUGUUCUGCACAAAGAGUCAUAGAAGAAAAUAUUAAAAUAUUAAAACAAUGCAUAAAGAUCUUCAAAUCAAGAUGGGAGGCGGUGAUUUUACAGAAGCAUCACCACGUGGUGAACCUGUGGCCUCAGGGGAUAGGAGGGGGGACAGAACAGGGCAGGACUGAAGAUACCCAGUUGUCAGGGCAGAGCACCUGAAGCAGGAGCACAGCAGGAGGGGAUGCUGGUGGCUGUGGUCCCAGGAGAAGGCGGGGAGAGAAGCGGGAAGAGGACUGUGUGAACUGGGGUCUCUGCUAUGAGGAGCCCCUGAGAUGGUGCUGCUGUUGCUGCAGGGGAUCCUCAAGUAGGGAGAGGCUUCUCUGUGCAUGAAGGAGUAGAAGAUCUGGGGAAGGAGCACAAACACUGAAUUCCUAGCUGAGAAACGGGAGACCCUGACCUUGAGCGUCAGGAUCAGUGCCCACAGCCUGAGCCAGGUGUGCAGGCCUGGACUGUCUCCAACUGUCCCCCCUGCUCCACUACUUCUCCAGGAUCAGAGUGAGGCUCAGGGUCAGGAACAUCCCCAGGGCAGGGACCACAUGGACAAAGACAUCAGGGGUGUUGCCCCCAUGGACUCCAAGUCACAGAGAGAGAGAGAGAGGCGCAGAGACACAGGCAGAGGGAGAAGCAGGCAC